CAUUCGCAGCAUUGGUACUGCUGUACCACACGGGAAUCAUCUGAUCCCAGAAGCUGGGCAGAGUUGGACCCGGUUGGUUCUUGGACAGGAGACCACCUGAGAGUACCAAGUCUUGUGAAUGA
rnacentral:rRNA from 1 species